rnacentral:misc_RNA from 1 species
UGGUUCUGGCAUNGAUGAAGAACGCAGCGAAAUGCGAUAAGUAAUGUGAAUUGCAGAAUUCAGUGAAUCAUCGAAUCUUUGAACGCAUAUUGCGCCCUCUGGUAUUCCGGGGGGCAUGCCUGUUCGAGCGUCAUUACAACCCUCAAGCCUUGCUUGGUAUUGGAUGCGAUUAUUGUGAUCCAUCCCAAAAUUAGUGGUGGUGCCGCCUGGCUUCCAGCGUAGUAAAGCUCUCGCUGUGGAUGUCCAGGCUGGUGCUCCCAGUAAACACUUUUCUAGGUUGACCUCGGAUCAGGUAGGGAUACCCGCUGA